GGCCCCUUGGUCAAGUGGUUAAGACGUCACCCUCUCACGGUGGAGUCAGGAGUUCGAUCCUCCUAGGGGUCA
rnacentral:tRNA from 1 species